UCCGGAGUAGCUCAGCGGUAGAGCAACCGGCUGUUAACCGGUUGGUCGGGGGUUCGAAUCCCUCCUCCGGAG
rfam:Rhodospirillum photometricum DSM 122 draft genome sequence